rnacentral:misc_RNA from 1 species
AUUUUUGUGUUUUAAAUCCUGGAGCUGAUUGCUGAGCAACUGGAGUUAGCAAUCCCAAGCCUCAAACUUCAACUGCAACAAAUUACAACUUUGAACCAGAUUUGGCAAUGUAAAAAUGCUUAUAUGUUAGUAUCACCAAUAAUCUUUGCAAGAACAUAAUCCGUUCCUGAAAUGGUGGAAGCGGGAUGCAUCCCUGACAACAAAUUGAUGAUCCACAAUUUUGCUGACCAACUUUAUAAACAAAUGACAAUCUACACAUAUCCUAAGAUUCUUUAUCACAACAAUCUCUGAUCCUUCUGUGCUGUUCAGGAGCCCAAAUGCGAUUGCCAACUUUUCACUAUGCACGCCCCUGCCAUUUAUCGAUUCUUCAGUUCUUCUUUCUCGACCAUUCUUGGUAAGCUUAUCAAGAUCCUUAACCAAAAUUUCUAACUCAUCUAACAUUUUGUAUAAUUCCUCAGUUUGAGGAUGAUUUCUAUCUCCAGCGAAGAAGAGGUGAACUCUCCCAUUAAAUUCAACAUAACUACAGCCUGGGUCCUUUUUGAGGUUCCUCUUCUUCAUCAUCACUCUAACUCCUAAUAUCCCCUCCAAAUUCCCAGCCUCGGUAUAUAUAUUAGAUAACAAAACGUAGUAACCAAUAUUUGUAGGUUCGUGCUCAAUGACCCGUUCGAAAGCCACCUCUGCUAACUCUACAUUUUUAUGGAUUUUGCAAGCACCUAAAAGUGCUCCCCACACGGCACCAUCAGGUUUUGCUGGCAUAGAUUCAAUGAGCUCCCGAGCCUCAUUUAGCUUACCUGCCCUGCCUAAAAGAUCCACCAUGCAAGAGUAAUGUUCUGGACCAGGCUGCAAUCCAUACUUCCUCUGCAUCAUACCAUAAUAAUCAAAUCCCUUGUCAGUCAGUCCCGCAUGACUACAUGCAGAUAAAACGCUCACAAAAGCUGUUCCAUCAGGUCUAAUGCCAGUCCUGAUCAUGUCAUCAAAGAGCUCAGUAGCAAUCUCUCCUUGUCCAUGCAUUCCAUACCCUCCUAUGAUUGCUGUAUAUGAAACUACACUUUUCACAGGCAUGCCAUUAAAGAUAUCUCUAGCCUUCACCAAAUUACCACACCUAGCAUACAUAUUAAGCAAAGCAUUGUUCAGUAAUGGAUUGGACCCAAAUCCACAAACCUUUAUUUGCUGUUCUAUCUCCCGACCAACGCUAUGUGCACCAAGAUGAGCACAGGAAGAAAGAACCCCAACAAGUGUUAUAGGGUCAGGAGAAACCCCAGUUGAUUUCAUCUCCCUGUAAAGAUCCAAAACGUUGUUAGCAAGCCCAUUUUGGGCGUACCCAUUAAUCAUUGCAUUCCAAGUAAUCAAACCUUUUUCUGGCAUAUCGUUAAAUAACUUUCUUGCAGAAUCGAUUUCCCCACAUUUCACAUACAUUGUAAGCAAGCAGUUCCCAAUAGACAAAUCCGCAUCGAAUCCAAGCUUCGUACAACAAGCAUGAACAGACAUUCCCAGUUCCAAAUUCCCAGGAAGCCCACAUAUUGGAAUCAAUCCCAACAAUGUAACCCCAUUAAUCUCCACACCUAUUUCUCUCAUUUCGCUAAACAAUGACACCGUCUCCUUAACUCUAAGGUUGAAUGCAUAUCCAGAUAUCAAAGCAUUGUAACAAACCAUUAGCUUACUAGAAUGGGGAUUUUCAUCAAAUACUUUACGGGCAUUGUCUAUUAGGAAACAUUUACCGUACAUUGAUAUCAACGAUGUCUGGACAAAGGGUUCAAAUAAACACCCAGUUUUAAUGACAUGGCCAUGGAGUUGUUUUCCGGUGGUAGGAAGAGAAAGGACUGCGCAGGAUUUAAGGGCAAAUGGGAAAGCGAAAGCGUUAGGGAAAGAGCCAGAGCGGAGCGUUUGAAGGUAGGUGAAGAGCGAUUGGUUCCAUGGCGAUACAUUGGCGGAAGUGGAUGUUCUGGUGGUGGACGAUUUGAGGUGUUUGUAUAAUAUCGUCUUAAUGGCCAUAUGUUGACAUGAUAGAGGCCGGAGCCGGAGAAACGAGCGAGACAGAAUAAGCGAGUCGACGUGAGAUGCAUAUCUCGGCCGAAAUAUAUUUCUUGCAAUGAUAGGUAAUAAAAUAUUGAGAAAAAGAUAUAUUUUUUUAGAAAUAAUUUAUUUAUUUUUUUUUAAUGUUUGAAACAUUAAAAAAAUUGAUUAAUACGAAUAUUUUCGUGCUCAAAGAUAAA